AGAGUUUGAUCCUGGCUCAGGACGAACGCUGGCGGCGUGCUUAACACAUGCAAGUCGAACGGAAAGGCCUCUUCGGAGGUACUCGAGUGGCGAACGGGUGAGUAACACGUGGGCAAUCUGCCCUGCACCUCGGGAUAAGCCUGGGAAACUGGGUCUAAUACCGGAUAGGACCUCAAGACGCAUGUCUUCUGGUGGAAAGCUUUUGCGGUGUGGGAUGGGCCCGCGGCCUAUCAGCUUGUUGGUGGGGUGACGGCCUACCAAGGCGACGACGGGUAGCCGGCCUGAGAGGGUGUCCGGCCACACUGGGACUGAGAUACGGCCCAGACUCCUACGGGAGGCAGCAGAAG
rnacentral:rRNA from 1 species